UCCCUCGUGGUCCAACGGCUAGGAUAGUUGUCUUUCAAAAGAAAUUGGAAUUACCGAUUUCGGACAGGAGCACAAUCGGCCCGGGUUCGACUCCCGGCGGGGGAA
rfam:Exidia glandulosa HHB12029 unplaced genomic scaffold EXIGLscaffold_40, whole genome shotgun sequence.